rnacentral:rRNA from 1 species
GACGAGCGCUGGCGGCGUGCUUAACACAUGCAAGUCGAACGGAAAGGCCUGCUUUCCCUUGUGGAUUGCGGGUACUCGAGUGGCGAACGGGUGAGUAACACGUGAGUGAUCUGCCCCCAACUUGGGUAUAAGCCUGGGAAACUGGGUCUAAUUCCCGAUAGGACUGCAGGGUGGUGCCUGUGGUGGAAAACGAUUUUCUUGUGGUUGGGGAUGAGCUGGCGGCCUAUCAGCUGGUUGGUGGGGUAAUGGCCUACCAAGGCGGCGACGGGAAGCCGGCCUGGGGGGGUGGGCGGCCACAUUGGACCUGAGAUAUGGCCAAGACGCCUACGGGAGGAAGCAGUGGGGAAUAUUGCGCAAUGAGCGGAAGCCUGAUGCAGCGACGCCGCGUGGGGGAUGACGGCCUUCGGGUUGUAAACUCCUUGCGACCGCGAGGAAGCCACCUGGUUGGAGGGGUGGUGACGGUAGUGGUAGAAGAAGCACCGGCUAACUACGUG